CUAGAAUCUAAUCAUACGGCUGCACAAAAAGAAAGUUUGAAGGAAAUAGAAUAGGAAUCUGCAGAAGCGGAGUGUUUUCCGCACUUGAGAGGAAAGAGGUUGUAGGGAACUUAGAGACUAAACCUUGCCAGCAUACUGGAUUUCUGGUGAUGACAAUAGCAGCAGAUAGUAUGCGGCUCAGUUAAUACUAAAAACAAUUGAUUUUAGUAAUUAGUGGACUAUGAGUGUGUGUUUGGCCAUCCAGAUUUCAUAACUACAACUGAUGUUCAAUUACAAGGGAUAUUAAUCAGUCUCACUGUGCCUAAUCACUGUGCCUAGUUUCAUCCUCAGAGACUGAUGUGUAAGCUUAAAGUAAAGACAUCAAAUCAAAGUAUCAGCCAUCAAGAGGAAAAACAUUCAAAAUCAUAUUGUGAUACACAAGUCAAGCAAGUCUAUGACCAGCAUUUUGAUACAGGCCAAGAAAAAGCUGAAUACUUGAUUGGAAGGGUGGCACAAAAAACAUGAAUUAUCACUAGGGAAACAAGCUCGGAAUACAGUUCACUGUUAGGACAGCAAGCCAAAUACUUCUAAACUUAUUUGAAUCAUUUUUGCUGUUUAUUAUAAUUCAUCCAAUUGUCUUAUUAAAUAUAUAAAUUUAUAUAUAU